CACGUAGGGUGCGAGCGUUGUCCGGAAUUAUUGGGCGUAAAGAGCUCGUAGGCGGUUUGUCGCGUCGGCUGUGAAAGCCCGGAGCUUAACGGCGGGUUGGCUUCCGGUACGGGCAUGCUGGAGUGUGGCAGGGGAGACUGGAAUUCCUGGUGUAGCGGUGGAAUGCGCAGAUAUCAGGAGGAACACCGGUGGCGAAGGCGGGUCUCUGGGCCGUAACUGACGCUGAGGAGCGAAAGCAUGGGGAGCGAACAGG
rnacentral:rRNA from 1 species